UUCAACCCUCAAGCCCAGCUUGGUGUUGGGGCAUUACCUUCCCUCACGGGAGGGUAAGCCCUGAAAUUUAGUGGCGAGCUCGCCAGGACUCCGAGCGCAGUAGUAAAAC
rnacentral:misc_RNA from 1 species